rnacentral:rRNA from 1 species
GACGAACGCUGGCGGCGUGGAUUAGGCAUGCAAGUCGAACGGUAUCAUCCUUUCGGGGGUGAGAGAGUGGCGAACUGGUGAGUAACACGUAGGUUAUCUACCCUCAAGACGGGGACAACCCAGGGAAACUUGGGCUAAUACCGGAUGUGAGCAACUUUUAGUUGUUUGAAAGGUGGCGUAAGCUGUCGCUUGGGGAUGAGCCUGCGUCCUAUUAGUUAGUUGGUGAGGUAACGGCUCACCUAGGCAAUGAUAGGUAGGCGGCCUUAACGGGUGGUCGCCCACACUGGGAUUGAGAUACGGCCCAGACUCCUACGGGGAGGCAGCAGUCGAGAAUAGUCUACAAUGGCCGGAAGGCUGAUAGUGCGACGCCGCGUGAACGAGGGAGCCCUUCGGGGUGUAAAGUUCUUUUCUAUACGAGCAGUGCUAUAUAUAUGGAUAGUAUAUAUAGAGGGAUAGUAGUAUAGGAAUAAGCAACGGCUAACUCCGUG